rnacentral:lncRNA from 1 species
UUCAAAAUUCAGUCCAAUUAAGGUACUAGUGGAGGGUCUCUUGUCUCUGGGGCGCGAACCACGUGAGUGCUUGGUUUUUGUUUUGUUUUCGGUGAUCCAAUCGGCCACCGUUGGCUUGGCUAUAAUUUCUUAGGUUAUGUUAUUGUUUUGGUUUUAACGACAAGUCUUCAGGAGUUUUGAAUGCUGUUAGAAAAUUUUUUGAAUGCUUUUAGAAAUUUUUUUGAAUUAGCAAGAAACAAGGAAAUUUAUGCAGCCAACUUCAUGAUGAAAGUGUCAAGUUUCAUGUUUAGAUCCUGGAGAGGAGCUCAAAAAACAGUAGGUUUCUUUCCUAUCUGUACAUCAUUAGUAUCAUUAGUUCUAUCUUGUAUGCUGUUUUAUUUUUUUCCCCCAUGAAUUAAAGACAAAGUUUAAAAAUCAUUCAUGUCCAGGUCCUAGGAGCUGUUUUCAAGGAUCCUAUCAGAAAAUUCAUAAGAUAGGUACUUGUGACAAAGGUAACUUAGAAUAAAAUUGGACUCUUGCGCAUCAGUUGUAAGUAUAUGGAGAAACAAUCACUCAAUAAAAAAAUGGACUACUCUGCUCCGUAUGAAUUCAGUAGAGCCGGAUAGUUUAAUGCUCGACUAGUGGCGGGAUUGGAGGUGUGAGUUUCUAAAAACUUACGUAAUCUCGCUAUAAAUCCUAGGUCUAUGGCACCAAAUGGUAAUAAAAUCAAUGGCAUCUCACAUCAAAAACCUGAACAUAAUUCAAGGAAACGUAAAAGCAUUUAUGAAGCAUGAAGGUAUCUAAACUGAAAGAAUUUUAGAGGGUAUGCAUGUUCAAAUUUCUUCCAUUCAUUUUGGAAAUAGUGAAUGGAAAUAGUGAAUAGUGCAAUCUUUAUGCUUCAAGUUGUCACAUACAUAGCAUCAGUUUGCUAUUGCAUCAAAUAAUAUUUUUGAAUAUCUCAUCUGAAAACUUUCUUGCAGUAGAGAGAUUUUCCUUGUCAAGUUAGAAAGUCUGUUCAUGCUGGUGUCAAUAGACCAGCAAAGUUUUUUUAUGUGAGAAAUGAUCCUCAGUCGCGUUUCAACUUGUGUGCGGGGCGGUCACUCGUUUGAUCGCUCCCGCUGCGAGUUUCUCUACUUCGCUGUCUAGAAGUGUUUUCUCGGCUCCACCGUGUUAUAUCUCUUUAGAAAUGUGCUACAUACCUUUUACUAUUAGAAACAUUCGUGUGCAACUGAUGGUUUUCAAGAUAUUUAUCGUUAAAGAUCAAAAUCCUUGUGAUUUUAGUGCACCAUCUUGAAUUUUGCCAACUGUGUAUAGUGAUAAGGAAGAGAUAAGUUGCACCCGAGCUGCUUUAUCGAAGUGUUAUCUCUUUCAAUUAACUUGAUAAGAACAUACGCGAAUCGAAUGGGCGAUGUGAGGCCCUGGCGCGGCUGGAAGGAGCGAGAGGGGAAAGGCGCCGCUUAUUACGUUAGUGGAGCGGCUGGUCACCGUCUCUAGGCGUACCUAUUAGAAAUAUAACUGGAUUCAAUCUUUCGGGGUUGGUGGAUUUGGAUCUGGUUUGGCGCUCGGACUCUUCAAACUCUCAAAGGCCAAGGCGGGGAUUAGCAGAUCUCAUGAGAGGGACGUCUCUACCUAGGAGUCGGGAGGCAUGGACGGACGGUCCCAACAUCAACGCAAGGCCAAUACCGGACGGCGGGAUUAGCCCGUGUGCGCCGGUCGGCGAACUUUAGAGACAUUGACCCUUGUUGCCUGCUCUUCUGGGGGGGGUGGCCUUCUGCGUGCGGGUGCGGUGCCCUUCCCUUCGGUGGGGUGCCUUUCCCCCCUUUAUCUGGUGGCAGUCAGUGCAGGUGAUUUGCGCCU